GGCCGAUCUUAUCUAAGAAGCCCAGGUGAACUUUUGAUGCUCAUGUGAACUUAUAUGGCUUUUGAAGAUGAAAUAUGCGUGGUUCGUUUGAAGGAAUACAAAUGACAUGGAAACAGAUGGUGUAGAAGGCGUGUAUUUUCUCGUGGGGUUUAUUUGUGGAUUUUUUCUGUUGGGGCUUAUUUGCGGAUUUUUCUGUUUUGGCUUUCGGAUUAUGUAAAUGAAUUGGCUGAAAAUUG
rnacentral:misc_RNA from 1 species